rnacentral:RNase_P_RNA from 1 species
CGAGUUGUCCAGGCGGUCGCGCGCGCUCCGGCGCGCGAGGAAAGUCCGAGCAGCGCAGGGCAGGGUGCCGGGUAACACCCGGUGAGGGCGACCUCAAGGAAAGUGCCACAGAGACCAGACCGCCGGUCGGGCGGUGAGCCGGCCGGCAAGGGUGAAACGGUGCGGUAAGAGCGCACCGGGGCUUGGGCGACCGGCCCGUCAUGGCAAACCCCACCCGCUGCAAGGCCGAAUAGGGGAGGGAUGAGGCGGCCCGCGGACCUCCCGGGUUGGCCGCACGAGGCGCCGGGCGACCGGCGUCCCAGAUGGAUGACCGCCCACGACAGAACUCGGCUUACGGGCAACUCGCAGG